GACGGAGGGUGCUAGCGUUGUUCGGAAUGACUGGGCGUAAAGGGCGCGUAGGCGGCCGGUUGCGUCGGAUGUGAAAGCCCGGGGCUCAACCCCGGAACGGCAUCCGAUACGGGCUGGCCCGAGACCGAGAGAGGUGAGUGGAAUACCCAGUGUAGAGGUGAAAUUCGUAGAUAUUGGGUGGAACACCGGUGGCGAAAGCGGCUCACUGGCUCGGUUCUGACGCUGAGGCGCGAAAGCGUGGGGAGCAAACAGG
rnacentral:rRNA from 1 species